UAUCCCAGGUCAGUCACUGUGACGGAAACACAGGCUACAGCAGCCCUGAGCUCCAGAAAAAAAACUACAUUUACUUAACUUGUGCAGAAUAAUGCGCCGACAUUGCGUUAUAUCGAGCUGCAGCUGCCCACGUUAAACUGUGACUAUCACCAGGUAACGUGGGCAAGUUUUCCCGAAUAAGGAGCAGGUGUUAAACAGCUGACAGAAACACAGAGACACAAGAUCAGGCGGAAAGAGACGACCGUUCGGUGAAAAUGAGAAUCUGCGGAUGCAACAUGUGGAACGCACAAAUCUAACCGGUUAAUGUAAAAAACAUGUGAAGCUGUGAACUCAGUACACUCUGUCAACUGACUGUUCGCUGAGCUAGCGACAUCUCCGAAAACAUCGGAGCACUUUUGCAAACAUGUUCUAUUUUGACCAGCUGACCAGACGUGAACUUUACGCCACUACAUUCACACAAAAAAUUAAAAAUGGGUAGCACACAUUUCCUGUAAAAUUAAAGUAACAUAAUUACAAGGAACAUUUUUAUUAAUCAACUUCAUGUAAUAUUUAUUAUGUGUGGUGCAUUAAUUAACAAUUCAUGACCUUUUGCUAUUAAGUAUUAAACCAAACAUGUGUAAAACUGUGCACAGACAGUGACUCAUAUCUUUACAUAUUUGGCCGUGCAGACAAACUGCUUUAAGUUAUUUUUUUGCAGUCAUGUUUGUGUAGCGCUUCAUGUUGAUGUAUAUGUGCCAUAUAUGGGCUCAAAACACGAAGUUGACAGGAAAUGUGGGUGCUAAGCUGCUGCUAUGUGCGCUGAAUCUAUUUAUAGCUAAGGUAGAUGUGGAGUAUAAAAAGGGCUGACAUGGAAAUCGUGGUUCAUUUUUACUUUUGUCCCUUGGCUUUCUUUUUGAGUGAUCCUCAGCUCGACACAGAGAAUUUCCUUCCCUGAAGAUCUUCAUUGAUCCCUGCGUCAGAGAGCCGACUCCCACCAAACACUACACUGCACAACAAAUCACUCCGCUAACUGAAGAAAGAGAAAUAUGAAGCUCUCCAUUUUCUUGCUGGUGGUGUUCUCUGUCACUGUGCUCUGUGUGGAUUACGAACAUGUUAAGAAGUUCAAAAACCAGCAUAUCAUCGAACCAGACACAAAAAUGUCGUCCGUUUCUUCUAGCAGAUCAGCACAAGAAAGUGAUAACAAACGUGUUGAAAACUUCAAAAACCAGCAUAUCAUCGAAACAGAUGUAAAAGAUGUAAAAGAAUGUGGUCCGAUAAAAGACAGGGGAAUCAAAGUUGGUAAAGACAGAAACACCUUCAUCUUGAGCACUUUUGACAAAGUUAAAGCUAUUUGUACAGAAGAACAACGUGUUUAUAAAAAUGACAAUCUUUAUAGAAGCUCUGAAGAGAUGUACAUUUUGCACUGCAAACUGCAAGAUGACAAAAAAACAUACGAAGGCGUAAAGAUAAAGAAGCAUAUUGAAAUUGCAUGUGAGAACAUCACCAGUGUUCUUCAACCUGUACACCUGCAAUGCUGCUUUUGAUUUGAGAGCUGCUCUGUACUCACUGUAAUCUUUCUAUCAUUGUUUCAUGAUGUUGCUUUGGAUUUCUUCAGAUUUGAAAUUCUUAAGACUUUGUAAAGUUUGCAUAAAUAAUAAUGAGAAUAUUAUUAUUAAAGGAAUACGAAAGAA